UUAAAAAUAAAAGUACAAUUUUUAUUCUCGAAAACGAUAUAUUUAUUUAAAAAGUUACUUUUCACGAUUUAGUGUGUUCAUUUAAAAGUUGUUCUUUUCAAUACAAAAAUUGUACAACUGUCAAACCACUCAAACAAAAAUAUAUAUUUGUUUUGCAAGUGACAGUAACUGUUCGGAAUUUCUGUUGUUGUCUGUUGUCAGCAAUCCGAUCAAAAAAGUGUGCCAUCAGCCAGGAUCAGUUGCAGCAAUUUGUUUGUUCUUUGCCGUGGCCAUACGAGCUAGACUUCUUGUUAAAUACCUUUAUCUACAACGUGCUCGCUACCCUCUCAAUUAAGCCGACAGCAGAGGUAGCAGAUUCUUUACCCGAUCGACCAUUAUUGGAUUGGAAAUGGCUUCCCGAAUGACUUCCCAAGUUGGCGUGCCUUGUGAUGAAAGGAUAUGGACUUUCACGCAUUUCUGUUACCUUAGAUAAUUAAUUUUCCAUCAAAAUUGAAGACGCAUCAGAAUUUCGCAUCGAUAAAGCAUGAAUAAUUUUCCACCUUCGCCAGCUGCUCGGCCAGCUGUGCAAAUUGGCGCAGCUGUUAAAUAUGGCUUCAACUAAAUAAUGUUAUUUAUUAAUUAUUGAUAAAUUGUUAUUAAAUAUUUCCUGAAAACGAA